rnacentral:misc_RNA from 1 species
GAUGAAGAACGUAGCGAAAUGCGAUAAGUAAUGUGAAUUGCAGAAUUCAGUGAAUCAUCGAAUCUUUGAACGCACCUUGCGCCCUUUGGACAUUCCGAAGGGCAUGCCUGUUUGAGUAUCAUGAACACCUCAACUCUCACGGCUUGUCCGUGAUGAGCUUGGACUUUGGGGGUCUUGCCGGCCUGUGGUCGGCUCCUCUCAAAUGGAUCAGCUUGCCAGUGUUUGGUGGCAUCACGGGUGUGAUAACUAUCUGCGCUUGUGGUUUUCCAUCAGAUAACCUUCAGUGAUAUGGAGGUUCGCUGGAGCUCACAAAUGUCUCUCCUUAGUGAGGACAGCUCUUUGAACGUUUGAUCUCAAAUCAGGUAGGACUACCCGCUGAACUUAAGCAUAUCAAUAAGCGGAGGA